rnacentral:rRNA from 1 species
UACGAAGGGGACUAGCGUUGUUCGGAAUUACUGGGCGUAAAGCGCACGUAGGCGGAUUUGUUAGUCAGGGGUGAAAUCCCGGGGCUCAACCUCGGAACUGCCUUUGAUACUGCAAAUCUCGAGUCCGAUAGAGGUGGGUGGAAUUCCUAGUGUAGAGGUGAAAUUCGUAGAUAUUCGCAAGAACACCAGUGGCGAAGGCGGCUCACUGGCCCGAUACUGACGCUGAGGCACGAAAGCGUGGGGAGCAAACAGG